ACGAUGGGUCCCAAAGGGGAGGGGGCACUUGGACACACCAGAGGGGGAGACGAUUGCCGCCGCUUACUGGUGCUACCGUUUUGCCCAUUUUUCCCGAAUGCAUCGAAUUUUCUUCGCUUUUCAUCUCAGUUAGAAUUUGCUCUCCGUUGGUGGUUGCCAGACAAAGGUGCGAUUUCUCUGCGUGCGGCGGGUCGUCGAUAGUUGGUGCGUUGUAACCCUAGCAAAGCGCUUCUGGGGCUAGAUUGGUCUAGGCCUAUACGGGCUUUUUUCUCGGAAUACCUUGACUAGGUGCGUGCGGUGUGAAAUCAGCGGGAACGAAAAUCUCGUGAUUCGAGGAUUUCGGGGGUUUUUGGUGUGGCGCGCGGUGUUCGACAGUGUUCUGUAGUGCGCUGGCUGGAAGUAAUGAAAUUGAAGAUUUUUCCAGCCACUUGCAAAAUUGAUUAGCAACCUACUCGAGCGUAGACGGUGAGUCGAGUACAGGCAGACCAGUCGGAUCCGGCAAGAUUCCACAAAACGUUGCCUCAAGUGAAACUACCUUGCUGUUCUAUGUAGCAGUGAAGAUUCGACAGUUUGUGGAAGGGAAAUGUUGAAGCUGGUGGACGGUGCUUGAAGAGGAGUGUGUUUUAUUUUUCGUUGUGUAGAAGAAGAGUCGCCCUGUUGUAGGCCUGGCGGGGGUUUUCAAACAAGUGUGUUUGCCAAGUUUUUUCUUCCUGUCGUUGUUCGGUGCCCAGCUGCCGCCAUCAGAAACCGACGAAGGUGGAGCACAGAUGCAUCAAGCAAGAUGCCCGAAAGCAACAACAGUAAACCAAUUGAUGUUAGUCACGUAAUCCAAAGUGUUCAAACGUUCACAAAGUGAAACAAGCGCAAUCAAAAGGAAUUUGCUUUUGAACCACUAAAGAUUAUAGUUCACUUAGCGAAGCAAUACAAAUUCUGAAGAAGAAACACACCUAGGAAGAUCAAGUGAAACGAAAUUCGAGAAAUAAUUACAAUCAUCAGUAGAAGUGAAGUAUGCUGCCGUUCGUUUUGUCUAAUUCAAGGCAAUCAUAUUAAAGUGUUCCAGUGAAAUCAAGAAGAAACGUUCACCUGUGCGAAAAAUUUCCAUCGUUAUCAAGCAUCGCAAAAAAAAAGAAAAAUCGAAGUCAGAAAAGCAACGGGUGUUAUGUAAUUUUAAUUGGAAUCCAAGGCAUCGUAAAAACGAAAUCCGUGCAGCCGUGCCAGGGCUUUUGCACUGCUUUCUAUUCCCAUGGAUAGCUGUGAGUGAAAGUGAGGCUUGAAUUUCUCCGUGGUAGAAUUACUCGGGUGUUGGCUUCAGAGUGUGGAGUGUUGAGGUGGAGACGCAUCAUCCUUUGAAGGAGGCAUUAGGCAUAAGGCCAGCUGAGGAGUCAGACGUAAUUUCGGAGAAAAGAUUGCAUUUUCCGCCUUCAAUCCGUUUCAACUAUCAGUGAGGACCGUUAAGAUAGCGUGGAAAGGUAGGUUGUUAUUUUGAUUUAUAUGCAAUGGCACAGGGUUAGGGUUCUUUCAUUCACUCAUUCAGACUAUUUCUGUGAAAUAAAUCAGGUGAUUCAGCUUUUGAUUGAAUAUGAAAGUAAGGCAGCACACAAAUUGAUUUUUUUUAUUUAUUCUUAAUCACUUAACCUAAUUUAUAGCUCUAUUGCCCACAUGGGCACUACGUGAGCGAUUACAAUUGACAGCUGCAGUUACACUUUCUACAGCGCCUGAAUGUAUUCUAUUCUAAUUCUACUAUAUCGAACUGGUUACCUAUGUGCUGCUUUCACUUUCUACUCUGUCCACGGUAGAAGGAUGUGCACGAUGAUGUUGAUGUGUGGCUCUUGUUCUUUUUCCCAGAUCG